UUCUGCCGGGUUUCUCCCUGCGGCUCCUGGGUUGUUGAGACUCUUGUGAAGAUGGCUUGCGCUGCCGCGCGGUCCCCGGCCGACCAGGACAGGUUUAUUUGUAUCUAUCCUGCUUAUUUAAAUAAUAAGAAGACCAUCGCAGAGGGAAGGCGAAUCCCCAUAAGUAAGGCUGUUGAAAAUCCUACAGCUACAGAGAUUCAAGAUGUAUGUUCAGCAGUUGGACUUAACGUAUUUCUUGAGGUAUGACGUGGUUCUUCACUAUUUUCCAUACUCAUCUAAUUGAUGUAAUAACUUUCUUAAGUCCUGUUUUUCUUUUGUUUCGUUUAUGUUAGAAAAAUAAAAUGUACUCUAGAGAAUGGAAUCGUGAUGUCCAAUACAGAGGCAGAGUCCGGGUCCAGCUCAAACAGGAAGAUGGGAGCCUCUGCCUUGUACAGUUCCCAUCACAUUAUACACUAAGCCUAACUUCUGGUUCCUAGGUAAGUCAGUAAUGUUGUAUGCAGCAGAAAUGAUACCUAAACUAAAAACAAGGACACAAAAAACAGGAGGUGCUGACCAAAGUCUUCAACAAGGAGAGGGAAGUAAAAAAGGGAAAGGAAAGAAAAAGAAGUAACCUAGUAUCAGCAUCAAGUAUGUGGUACUACUGUAAGAGACAUGAAUGGAGACUUCUAAUUUGUAUCGGAGGGAAACAGAAGCUUUUUGUUUGCAUCAUUUAACUGAACUGUGAACCCUUGUGCCUCUCAUCUUUAUCAUCGGAGUUGACAGUGAAACAAAUUUACAUCAGAAGUUUGCAUCUCGCG
rnacentral:lncRNA from 1 species